CAACACCUCCAACAUACAAUCUUUCACCAAAUUACUGCACACUCAAAAUCUUCCAACCCACUUCAACCUUUUCUCCUUCAAGCAAACCAGAGAAGGAACCGUGAAGAUAGUAAAAGGAUUCCUUUUCCAAUUCAUCAAGUUUUGCCAUUUUUCCUCUAAGUCCAGCAAGGGGAGAGUCCCUACUCGGACUAGUUUACACGUGGAUUGUGUGUCAUCGAAAGGGUUGGCUGGUCUGGUGACCGUGGAAAGUGGCCACUUUCCCGUCACAAGAUGUUUCAGAUACGAUGAAUACCUUUGUACUCAACCCUGCAUGUAUUUCGAAAUGUGCAGGUUGAGUUGUGAUGGAGUAGAGGGUGAUGAUUUAAGUGGGGCUUACUCUUGUGUCUAUACAGUACUCUCGGAGGUUCAUGCCGUCACAAUAUAAUUUUUUUCUUCUUUUAAUUAUGGUUAAGUUUUUUUUUUUUCCCCUUUUUUCUCACUCACGUCCAAGCCGCCGCCUCCUUCCACCUGCCACCGGCGACGUCUCCACCCCCUACCACACCACACCACACCACACCGCUCCACUUGCACCUUAUAGUAUAUUUUUAUUCCACUGUAUUUCCAUUGUUCAUAGAUCUACUUUUCAUUCUUGAUUUUUUUUCUGUAUUGAUUUCAAAAAUUGUUAGAACAAUUUUUUCCAUUAUUUUGUGUAUAUUGUCAGUAAAGUGUGGGUGACAAAUUUUGUGGGACACGAAAAUGGAAAAUGCGACAAACUAGCUGGGGCGGUGGGAGUUUAUUAUUUCUAAUGGUUUUUAUAAUUGAAUAAAUAUGCUUGAGUAUCUUACAUACCUCAGUCGUAGUCCGAUGGAGAGUUAUGGCUGUUUUAUGGAAGCCGUGUAGUGCAGAAAAAGUUUCACCCGGACGCGUGACUUUUGAUCACUAAAAUUCGCCCGGUCGGGUAGCUACCCGAAAGCACGGUUGAGACAUCAAAUCCCACCCGGACAGGUGACUUUCGGUCACCAAAAUCUACCCGGUCGGGUAGCUAUAAAUAGCACUUCUCAUUUUUCAAAGAGAUUUUGAUUUGAUUGGGCGCCCCGAGCGAUGAGGGGGGACCCCGGGGCACGGGCUGAUGCGGAGACAGGGCGAGAGACCCACGAAUCGGGGCGCCAGAAUAGCCAAAUGAUGAUUAUAUUUGUGUCUCUUUUAUAAGUUUGUUGAUCUAAAUAUAUCAUUACUCCAUAUUAAAAAAAGAUUAGAUGAAAAA